CGAAAAUCCGUUGGUUUCAUGGGACCGUGAGGGUUCGAAUCCCUCUAUCCC
rnacentral:tRNA from 1 species